rnacentral:lncRNA from 1 species
ACUGAUAAAGGUCCAAUUUUGAGAGAGAAAACACAGUAAUUUGAAUAGGAGAAAUUUAAUAUAAAGGUUUGCCAGCUGUAACAGGUAGCUGGCAUUAUAAGGGAGUGGCUAAUAAAAGUUAAGAAAACUCAGAAGAACAUAGGAAUAGAAGACAGAAGGGGCAGCCACUACUCCCAGGGCUGGACUGGGGAACUUGCUUUAAAUCAGCCCUUUAGGAUGAAAAAGGACAGAAGACGCUGCUCACCAGGAAUUUCUCACUAGAGGCACUUUCCUACAAAACCACUUGAAGAGGUGCCAGAUUGCUUUUUACUGAAAGAAUGCAACAAAGAGAGCUGCCAAGAAAAUACAGUUAUUCCCCCAAAUAGUUCAAAGAACUAUGCCAGUUACCAUGGACACCACAUGUUGAGAUGCUAAAGAGUCAGAAUGGGUCUGUGAGUGAUUAUCUGGAAUGCUGGACAUGUAGAGUUUGUAUGGAGAGUGAGUACUGCGCUAGACAUGGAACAAAUAGAGACCAAAGACAGCAAGACUGACGGCAGCUCAACGGGGGGAGAUAUAAUUCUUAUUUUUUUCAUCUUCCUUCAGGCACUGUAGAAGUCUCGCAUAUAUGAUCAUUUAAAAUUUCGCUGAAGUCAUGUCUGAAUUCUGCACACUGCCUUAUGGAUGUGGGAGAGGUGACUAAACUGAGUCAACGCAGUCAACCACCCAGGACUUGCAAUUCCAGGGGGUUGCAUCCACCUAACCCUCCGGGGUUCUGGCUUCGGAUAGUGUUUGAUCAAUGGAAGCAACAAAAGAAGAUUGGAGGACAUGAAGACAGGUUACUGGAUGAUAUUCGACAUGAGCUGCAAUCCUCCAUCUGAGGUCCCAACUUUUCCAGAAGGCUUCUGUCCUGUUGCGCUCAUUGGAUUCUGGUACCAAAUUACAUAUAUAUCUGUCAAAAUGAUGUAGGACCUAAAGUCUCUCUGUAAGUUGAUCCUUUUGACCCCAUGAUUAGGAGCUUCACAAUGUGGUACCACACCUGGAAACCUCCAGAACAAGAUCUCAAGGAAACACAGGAAAUUCCUGAAACAGCAAAACCCCCUAUGUGAAGACGUCUGUUAUUCCUUUGUGUAUCAGGAGCAUCACUGUUAAUUAACUGUUGAUACACUUAAAACAGCUUGGUUGGCAAUGUCCUUUUUGAAUAAAGAAGAGCCAGGUGUGUUUUUCAGGAUGAACUAGACAAUGCUGUCACAAGUUUACCUCUACAUCUUAUUGCCUUGGAAAAAUUUCCUGCAUAUCGUGGCACAAGAUGGUUGGCUCUCCAGGCAGCAGUUGGCGUUGUGAAUCAGUCAUCUCAGCAUGUGUCUCCAAGAUCCCACAGCAGGGGGAAAAAGAGGUGGAGGGUCACAUGCCUGGUGUUACAUACUUUGAGGCAGAGGUGGUAGGUGCCAUUUCUGCUCACAGCUCAUGGACCAGAACAAAGCCAUGCAUACCUGAGAGAGGACCAGAAAAUAUUCUGAAGCAGAUGGCUAUUUGGUGAGCAGUAAAUGUUUCUGUUACAACAGGUCUUGACAAACUUCAAAUGUACUCCUACUAGGCCUACUUCACACCACUAAACUCUGUACUUCCUGUUGCUUGAUGGCAUCUUAUGCUGAUGUUUUCUAUCAUAGUGUCCGGCACAAAACAAGAGCUCAAUACAUAUACUUAAUAGCGCAUUUAGAUCUAAGAGUUUCACUUUAUCAAAAGAUUUUAGUACCUACGUAGCUAUUGGGCCACAUCAGGAAAAUGUAACUGCUUCUACAACUGCAAAGAAAAUUUAACUAAUUGUAUGCUCAUCCCAGCUUCAGGUUUUUGUUUUGUUUUGUUUGCUAGCUUCUUUUUAUUUCAUAAUUUUUGCUUUGUUUUCUGCCCUUGAGCAGAGGUUCAUUUCUAGUUUUCACUGGAAUUAGAACAACAGUUGUGUCCAUAUGCAAUAACAGUGUUUCAAAUUCUUUGGGGAUUUGCCCACAGUGUCUGCAGUCAUAUUGUGACACCAGUUGUGAUGCCAGUCUCUGUAAAUCAGACUUAUUCCCAGUGAGACAUUAUAUAUUUUUGCAGCCAAUACGAUCUAUUUUAUAGCGAUUUAUAGCAUUGUCUCUGAAAAGGAUACUUUGAUUUGUGUCUUGUUUUUGUCAGUUUUCAACACUUUGAUUGUGGCCCAGGUUAAUUAAUAUUUUGUGUCUAGGUUUCCUCAUCUCUAAAAUAAAGAUGUUUAUUUCUAUAGCUUCAUGUUGACAAUUAAAUUAUAUAAUUUAUGUUACUCAACUAGCAAGUAAAUUGAUGUACAGUGUAUUUAUAAAUGAUAGAUACUAUCUUUAUGUUAAUUUUUAUUAUUGUCAUCAUUAUCAUCAAUUUUCAGGUCCGUGUUCUGACUAAAAGGAAGCCACACUCUGUCGAAAACAAGCUUUGUAAGAAAAUUUUGAAGUAUUUACUUAUAUCUAACCAUUCAUUCCACCUUUUCUCCCAAAUAACACUCUAAUAUCUUGAGACAUCUUGUCUAGGGCCAGAUUUCAUAAAUGCUUGUGAGGCAGGAGAAUAAGUUCCAGAGGCAGUUCACACUGCCUAAAGCCAAUUCACACUGACUUCCUAUAACUAAAUCUAAAGGAAAAUCUCAACUUUCCUCGCCCAAGUAACAAAAGAAUCAGAGGUUAUACUCCCUUUGCAACCUGCCCCUUUUCUGCCUGGCAGAUGAAAAAUGAAAAGUACCUAUGACUGGUCCCCUCCCACGACCAGCCAGACUGGUCACGGAUCACUACUUCAUUUACAUAGGGCGUAAACCGAGUAACCAAUGGGAAACCUCUAGAGGGUAUUUAAACCCCAGAAAAUUCUGUAACCGGUGGUCUCCAGCAGGUUGCUCAAUCUUGCUGCCACUCUGUGGGAUGUACUUUUGUUUCAAUAAAUCUGUGCUCUUCCUUCGUGGUUUUGUUUGUGCUUUUUGUCCAACUCUUUGUUCAAAAUGCCAGGAACAUGGAC